rnacentral:misc_RNA from 1 species
GAUGAAGAACGCAGCGAAAUGCGAUACGUAAUGUGAAUUGCAGAAUUCAGUGAAUCAUCGAGUCUUUGAACGCACAUUGCGCCCCCUGGUAUUCCGGGGGGCAUGCCUGUCCGAGCGCCAUUGCUGCCCUCAAGCACGGCUUGUGUGUUGGGCCUCCGCCCCCCGGCUCCCGGGGGGCGGGCCCGAAAGGCAGCGGCGGCACCGCGUCCGGUCCUCGAGCGUAUGGGGCUUCGUCACCCGCUCCGUAGGCCCGGCCGGCGCCCGCCGGCGACCCCCCUCAAUCUUUCCAGGUUGACCUCGGAUCAGGUAGGGAUACCCGCUGAACUUAAGCAUAUCAAUAAGCGGAGGA